rnacentral:misc_RNA from 1 species
UUGAAUUUUAAUGAAGAGUUUGGUUGUAGCUGGCCCAUUCAUUUGGGCAUGUGCACACCUUCCUCUUUCAUCCCACACACACCUGUGAACCUGUGAGACAGAGAUGGGGAAUUUACUUGCUGCUUUUUGGAAUACAAAGGCAAUAGGUUAUUGGGCCCCCCCUCUGUCUACUCAAUUAAUAUAAACUCAAUUUAUUUUAAAACGAAUGUAAUGGAUGUAACACAUCUCAUAC